CAACAUGUCGGACUUACCUCAAUAUCCCCGACCGAUUUUCAGGCGAGGAUUAAGGCUGCCAUGACAGCUCCGGGGGAAGAAGUCCUCUCCAGUAUGCUGGCUAACAACCCAUCCGACAGAGCGGGUGCAACGGCAGCAACACCAAUGGAAGAUUGAGAUACCGACGUUAGGUCGGACACCCAUCAUCAGGGGACGAGGACUUCUCUGGAGAUCAUGAAAGAAUGGAGGGCAGAAGAGGUAAAAGUGACAAGACACGCCUAGCAAGAAAGGUUUUUUCUUUGGCACACUGGACACUCCUGUUUUGACUCACGCACCAUCCGACAACCAGGGUCAUCCGAAUGGGGUUAACUGGAGCACCGGGCCCACUUCUGGCUUAGGAGGCCUAUGGGAAAAGAAAUCCGAGACCGGCUCAGGAUGGAAU